ensembl:misc_RNA 7SK 7SK RNA
GAAUGUGAGGGUGAUCUGGCUGUGACAGCUGUCAGCCCAUCGAUCCCCAGGUUUAUUCAGCUGAUCUGGCUGGCUAGGAGGGUGUCCCCUUCUUCCCUCCCUGCUCAUCCGUGUCCCUCCUAAAGCUGCACACUUGGUUGAAGAGGAUGACCAUCCCCGAUAAAGGAGGACUGUUUUCAGUCAAGGGCGUGCAAGUAGCCAUGUUCCCUGCUAGAGCCUCCAAACAAGCUCUCAAGAUCCAUUUCCAUCAUUUCAAUGAGGUGUUGUGGUUUUGUUUUUUUUUUAAUUUUUGUCUGUUUUUAUUAUGGAAACAUUUCAA